AUACGGAGGAUCCGAGCGUUAUCCGGAUUUAUUGGGUUUAAAGGGUGCGCAGGCGGCCAUUUAAGUCAGCGGUUAAAUCGUGGGGCUCAACCCCAUUCUGCCGUUGAUACUGGGUGGCUUGAUUGCGGUCGAGGUUGGCGGAAUUCGUUGUGUAGCGGUGAAAUGCAUAGAUAUGACGAAGAACACCGAUUGCGUAGGCAGCUGACCAGACCGCAAAUGACGCUCAUGCACGAAAGUGCGGGGAUCGAACAGGAUUAGAUACCCUGGUAGUCCACACAGUAAACGAUGAAUACUCGCUGUUUGCGAUAUACAGUAAGCGGCCAAGCGAAAGCAUUAAGUAUUCCACCUGGGGAGUACGCCGGCAACGGUGAAACUCAAAUGAAUUGACGGGG
rnacentral:rRNA from 1 species